GGACAUUUCCAGCGCAGGAACAUUAUGGAAAUUUAAAGGUCGGGUCGUCAAGGAUUUAUAAAAGACUGUCGUAAGGCAACACAAUAAAAACAGAAAGGUCAGGGCAUAGAGCAUGACCUUUAGACCUUACUAGUGACCUGCAAAAACUCAAAAGUGUUCAAAAUACAAACAUUAUAGAAAUUUAAAAGUCGGGUCGUCAAGGAUUUAUACAAGACUGUCGUAAGGAAACACAAUAAAAACAGAAAGGUCAGGGCAUAGAGGAUGACCUUUAAACUCUACUAGCAACCUGCAAGAACUCAAAAAUGUUCAAAAUAUAAAAUGUUAGGAAGGAGUUUAAAUCACUAAUUGGGGCGCUAAAAUAUAUCACUGCAGGAAAAUACAAUAGUUUGAUGGUACAGAAAUCACCUCUAAUAUAUAUAUCCCACUACGUAUGUAUUAUAUGGUGAAGUUGACAGGUUAGGAACACAAAUCAAUAGGUUCUCUACACACAGCACAAGCCUAGGACUUUACGCUAACCUAACCCGACCACUCACCCGUCACCGCCAGCCCUGACCCAGCGGUAGCGAGCACUGGGCUGGCUACCGGGAAUGUUGAGGCACACACACACACACUCACACACACACACACACAUGAAUUCUUAGUUUACAUAGUUUACAUACGGUAUAGAAGUAAGAAGUUGAUAAAACUGUUGAUAAUACAUGGUUUAUUUGCCUCGUAUAUUCAUGCAAAAGCCAACACUUUGAAACCACUCCUGUAGGGUCAAAUUUUCCGUGCAUUUUUCAACCAACAUAUCCAUAUUUUUUUAGCUUGACUUUUACACGAGUCUAAAUUUAUCUGCCUCAUAUGUUCAUGCAAAAGCCAACACUUUGAAACCACUCCGGUAGGGCCAAAUUUUCCAUGGACGCCACACUCUCAGGGGCUGGUCUGCACUUUUCAACCAAUAUAUCCAUGUUCUUUUUAGCUUGACUUUUACACGAGUCUAAAUUUAUCUGCCUCGUAUGUUCAUGCAAAAGCCAACACUUUGAAACCACUCCGGUAGGGCCAAAUUUUCCAUGGACGCCACACUUUCAGGGGCUGGUCUGUAUCAUUUAACCAACAUAUCCAUAGUUUUUAGCUUGACCUUUACACGAGUCUAUAUUUAUCUGCCUCAUAUAUUCGUGCAAAACCCAAAACUUUAAACUCAUUCCUGUUGGGUCAAAUUUUCCAUGGACGUCACACUCCUAUGGGCUAUUAACUAACUAUUAACCAACUAUUAACCAACACAACUGUAGUUUUUCAGCUUGACUUCUACACGAGUCUAUACAGCAGGCCAAGCUUACAUUUCCUGGAAGCUGCACACACACACACACACACACACACACACACACACACACACACACACACACACACACUCAGCACAGGGCAUUAUUCCAGCUCUGUCAAGCUUGAAGAAAUACUUUCCUCGGCAGCGAGUCAACCUGAUGCAGGUUUGUUAAAGCUGAGAGAUCCAUCGCUCUUUUUCACAAACUGUCCCUGACCUAUGAACAGGGACCUCCUUGCGGCAGCCUGGAGCCUCCGCUGGUCCAAAAGAGCAAUGUAAGAAAGGGUCAUCAUCGUGAAACUGUCCCUGACCUAUGAACAGGGACCUCCUCGCAGCAGCCCGGAGCCUCCGCUGGUCCAAAAGAGCAAUGUAAGAAAGGGUCAUCAUCAUGAAACUGUCCCUGACCUAUGAACAGGGACCUCCUCGCGGCAGCCCGGAGCCUCCGCUGGUCCAAAAGAGCAAUGUAAGAAAGGGUCAUCAUCGUGUAUACUGGUGGAAAGGUCGACGUUUUGGGGGUCACUGUCCUUAAGGUCAAGAUUAGGUCAUGUACACUAAGUUUCUAGGGGGAUACUCUAACUUCUGCUACCACUAUGACUACUACUACUACAACUACUACUACUAAUCUUACCCUUCCUCCUCCUACUACAACUACUACUACUAUAAUUUACCUACACCUAAUUUCCAUUCCUCAAUCAAGCUUACCGAAGCCUUGAGAGAGGGACGACUUUCACUAAACUUCUACACGAGCAAGUCCCAAAUAUAUGCACCAAUUAGCAACUUAAAGUAUAAUAAUAAAAGAACUCUUCGAUCUCCGUCACGUCACGAUAAUACUCUCAAUAAAACCGUCUUUGUCCGUUUAUACAAAAAGGUCGGGAAGAAACAUCGGAAAAACGGAAAGGUCGGGGGGUGGAAGAUUUAUAAGACCGUCGUAAGGAAUCGUAAUAAGAACGGAAAGGUCGGGAUACAAAGCGUCGUAGAGAAAUAAAAUAAGAGAAAGGUCGGGGUACAAAGCCAUCGUGAAGAAACAUUGUAAAAACUUAAAGGUCAAGGCAUGGAGAAUAUAUUUACUAUACAAGACCGUCGCAAAUGAUCAUAAUAAAAACAGAAAGGUCGAGAUACAAAACCGUCGUAAUAUAAAUAUAAAGGUCGGGACGUGAGAGGCUUUAUACAAGACCGCCGUAAGGAAUCGUAAUAAAAACAUAAAGGUCACGAUACAAAACCAUCAUAAAGAAACAUUAUAAAAAAUUAAAGGUCGGGCCGUGAGAGGCUUUAUACAAGACCGCCGUAAGGAAACACAAUAAAACCAGAAAGGUCGAGGUGUGGAAACAGAAAGGUCAGGGUGUGGAAACAGAAAGGUCAGGGCAUGGAAACAGAAAGGUCAGGGCAUGGAAACAGAAAGGUCAGGGCAUGGAAACAGAAAGGUCAGGGCAUGGAAACAAAAAGGUCAGGGUGUGGAAACAGAAAGGUCAGGGCAUGGAAACAAAAAGGUCAGGGUGUGGAAACAGAAAGGUCAGGGCAUGGAAACAAAAAGGUCAGGGUGUGGAAACAGAAAGGUCAGGGCAUGGAAAC